rnacentral:rRNA from 1 species
CCUACGGGACGCACCAGUGGGGAAUAUUGGACAAUGGGCGAAAGCCUGAUCCAGCAAUGCCGCGUGUGUGAAGAAGGUCUUCGGAUUGUAAAGCACUUUCGACGGGGACGAUGAUGACGGUACCCGUAGAAGAAGCCCCGGCUAACUUCGUGCCAGCAGCCGCGGUAAUACGAAGGGGGCUAGCGUUGCUCGGAAUGACUGGGCGUAAAGGGCGUGUAGGCGGUUUAUGCAGUCAGAUGUGAAAUCCCCGGGCUUAACCUGGGAACUGCAUUUGAGACGCAUAGACUAGAGGUCGAGAGAGGGUUGUGGAAUUCCCAGUGUAGAGGUGAAAUUCGUAGAUAUUGGAAGGACAUCGGUGGCGAAGGCGGCAACCUGGCUCGAUACUGACGCUGAGGCGCGAAAGCGUGGGGAGCAAACAGGAUUAGAUACCCGGGUAGUC